rnacentral:misc_RNA from 1 species
GAUGAAGAACGCAGCGAAAUGCGAUAAGUAGUGUGAAUUGCAGAAUUCAGUGAAUCAUCGAAUCUUUGAACGCACAUUGCGCCCCUCGGUAUUCCGUGGGGCACGCCUGUUCGAGCGUCAUUUACACCCUCAAGCGCAGCUUGGUGUUGGGCGUCUGUCCCGCUCUCCGUAGCGCGGACUCGCCUCAAAGUCAUUGGCGGCGGUCGUGCCGGCUCCUCGUGCAGCACAUUUGCGCUUCUCGGAGGCCCGGCGGAUCGGCAUCCAGCAAGCUACUUUUUAUGACUUGACCUCGGAUCAGGUGAGGAUACCCGCUGAACUUAAGCAUAUCAAUAAGCGGAGGA